GGGGAUUUAGCUCAGUGGCAUAAGCACCUGCCUUGCAAGCAGGAAGUCCUGAGUUCGAUCCCUG
rnacentral:tRNA from 1 species